rnacentral:rRNA from 1 species
UACGUAGGGUGCAAGCGUUAAUCGGAAUUACUGGGCGUAAAGCGUGCGCAGGCGGUUUUGUAAGUCUGUCGUGAAAUCCCCGGGCUCAACCUGGGAAUUGCGAUGGAGACUGCAAGGCUUGAAUCUGGCAGAGGGGGGUAGAAUUCCACGUGUAGCAGUGAAAUGCGUAGAGAUGUGGAGGAACACCGAUGGCGAAGGCAGCCCCCUGGGCCUAUACUGACGCUCAUGCACGAAAGCGUGGGGAGCAAACAGGAUAGAA